rnacentral:rRNA from 1 species
UGAGGAAUAUUGGUCAAUGGGCGAGAGCCUGAACCAGCCAAGUAGCGUGCAGGAUGACGGCCCUAUGGGUUGUAAACUGCUUUUAUAUGGGAAUAAAGUGAGGGACGUGUCCCUUAUUGCAUGUACCAUACGAAUAAGGACCGGCUAAUUCCGUGCCAGCAGCCGCGGUAAUACGGAAGGUCCAGGCGUUAUCCGGAUUCAUUGGGCGUAAAGCGCUCGUAGGCGGUCUGUUAGGUCGGCAAGUUAAAUCCGGGGGCUCAACCCCCGUCCGCUUCCGAUACCGGCAGACUUGAGUUUGGUAGGGGAAGGUGGAAUUCCUAGUGUAGCGGUGGAAUGCGCAGAUAUUAGGAAGAACACCGGUGGCGAAGGCGGCCUUCUGGGCCAUAACUGACGCUGAGGAGCGAAAGCUAGGGGAGCGAACAGG